ensembl:snRNA U6 U6 spliceosomal RNA
GUGCUCGCUUCAGCAGCACAUAUACUAAACUUGGAAGGAUACAGAGAAGAUUAACAUGGCCCUUGCACAAGGAUGACAAGAAAAUUCAUGCAGCAUUCCAUAUUUUU